GGGAUGGCCAUGGAGAUACACCUUUUUGUUCUAUCAAACCUCACUACUUAUUAUGAAUGUAUCUGUAAUUAUACAUUAAUCUACAUUACAUAAAGAAAAAGCAUGUAUUGUAUUGUGGACCCCAGGAGGAGUAUCUGCUGCUUUCGGAAUAAGGGGGAUCCUAAUACAAUACCAUAAUGCUUAAACCACUGGAGUGGAGAUGCUGCCUGAGAUAGAUACUGAAUGAGGAAGGAAAGGAAAUCACAUAAGACUAAGUAAAUUAUCUUGAGCAAUAUAAUAAAGGACGUUAUGAACCACCUGAGUUUAUAAUAACGAGGUACACAAAUAAUCCCAAUAAUAGAAUACUUAAUGAAAAUGUCUAAAUCUGUAUGUAAAUGCUCAUGCUUAAUGUACUGUUAAUGUACUGAAAAACCUCAUAAGACAGAACAUUGAAGUCUUUAAGUCAUUGAGUCAUGUUUAACCUGUGGCCCCACCUUUGUGCUAACCUUUAAGGUCCCUCCUCAAAUACAGGUGGUUAUAAAGACCAGAUCCAUCCUAAGCACCUCUCUCAUAUCACCUGUGUAGGACCUGUUCACGACCCACAGGAUCACCAUGGGGACAACCAAGGAUACACUGAUAUGGAGGCUGAUAUGCCUGGCACUACUGAUCAGAUCAACACAAACAGUGAGCCCCACCACAAGUGUAACAAUCAUCCCGACUAUGAUCACAACGAUAUCCACACUUUCAGGUAAAUCUCUGACAGAAUGCACACCAAAUAAAUGACUGGGUAUCCAUCAAUAAUCUAAGAAGGAACUGACAUUUGUAUUCCUUGUCCCUCAGGAGUGAAUGCCUCACACAAUGACCAGGUCUGCAGCACGUGGGGUAACUACCACUUCAAGACCUUCGACGGGGACUUUUUCCAGCUCCCCUCCACCUGCAACCAUGUUGUGACCUCACUGUGUAAGAGCAGCUAUGAGGCUUUCAACAUCCAGAUGAGGCGGCAGGUGGUGGACAACCAGCCCACCAUUAGCAAGAUCACCAUGAAGCUGGAUGGUGUAGUGGUGGAGCUAUCCAAGGGUGUUGUUGUGGUCAAUGGGCAGACGUGAGUUUCCCUGUCAUUUGACUUAUACGCCAUUCUGCAAGCACCUCUCUUGAGGAUUUUAUAUGCUACAUUCUGGAGUUUAAUAAACAUUACAAUCAUAAUGUAUAGGAUGACCUUUAAGUAUCUUUUUCCUCCUGAAGGGUGACCCUGCCAUUCAGCUUGUCUGGAGUCAGCAUCGUGAAGACUACAUCCAAUGUGAAGGUCGUAGCCAAACUGGGGCUGGUUGCUGUUUGGAACAAGGAUGACUCCCUAAUGGUAAAAUACCUGCUUUUCUAACUUUCCUCUUCAAUGGUUGAUUAGUUAAUAAUGCUACAUUUUUCUUUAGAUUAAAAGCAUAAAAUCUUUGUCAUCGUUGGCAAUGAUCAGCAGUUGAUCGUGAGUGAGAGACACCUAUUUUUGGCUGCACCUUCUCUCACUGUAUACUCCCCUCCUAAAAUGUUAACAUUGAAAGGCAGAAUUACCUGAAGAACGAGGAUGAAUUUAACAGGAUCUGUGAAGAUGUAUAGGCUAUACACACACACAGGCUAAUGUUCCAAUGUUUAUUUGAAGAAGUGUUUGCAAAUACUUGUAGAUUUGAAUUAGAUUUUCUGUCACUCCCUAAUAUAAAGACUAACAAAAAGAAAGGUUUUAAAUGUGGAAGACAGCCAGGACUUAGAACACGUGAAUGGUGCUGAACAGGAUGAUAUUUUAUGUUUUACUAAACACCU
rnacentral:lncRNA from 1 species